AUGCGUGUGCGUGCAAGCACGCCGCAGGCAACCCGGGCAUCAGCCCUGGCUGCAGAUAGCACACGUAAAUCACCAGCGGUGUUGCACAACCGCUGCGUUAUACCCGUGCAAAUCAGUCGGUCGGCUCACUUGCGCGAGCGCUCGCUCCUGUGCCUCUGCCCCGCAGAUCGGACCCAGGCGCCCUGUUCAUGGUUGCAGCCACCCAGCACCUCUGUGAGCAGCACGGCCCAGCAUCCCUGGCACUGGUGGGGACGCGGGGUGGUGACGGGAGCCGUGCCCUGCCUGCUACCCUCCUGUGAGCGUGUGGCAGGGCUCGCCGGAGCACAGCCGCCUCUCCGUGAGGCAGCACCUGGAGACGCCUGCUCUCACCUGCGGUCCAGAUGUACCCGAGGUGCCCAGCCUCCAGUGUGCUGGUGGCCCCUGCCUCUCCCCAGGAAGUGCUGCAGUGAGUGUCACAGCACUUGCCGCUGUCCCCUGGCCUGA
rnacentral:lncRNA from 1 species